rnacentral:rRNA from 1 species
CCUACGGGUGGCAGCAGUGAGGAAUAUUGGUCAAUGGGCGGGAGCCUGAACCAGCCAAGUCGCGUGAGGGAUGACGGCUCUAUGGGGUGUAAACCUCUUUGGCCGGGGAGCAAAGUGCGGCACGUGUGCGGUGUGGAGAGUACCCGGAGAAAAAGCAUCGGCUAACUCCGUGCCAGCAGCCGCGGUAAUACGGAGGAUGCGAGCGUUAUCCGGAUUUAUUGGGUUUAAAGGGGGCGUAGGCGGACGCUUAGGUCAGCGGUAAAAUUGCGGGGCUCAACCUCGUCGAGCCGUUGAAACUGGGUGCCUUGAGUGGCCGAGAGGUAAGCGGGAUGCGUGGUGUAGCGGUGAAAUGCCUAGAUAUCACGCAGAACUCCGGGUGCGAAGGCAGCGUACCGGCGCCCAACUGACGCUGAGGCACGAAAGCGUGGGUAUCGAACAGGAUUAGAUACCCUAGUAGUC